UGGGCAGCGUGAGCGGCGUGGGCUGCAUUGGACUGUUGCACAGCUGCAGCCAGGAGCUGCGCCUGAGCCUGCUGCAGCAACAUCUGCUGCUGCGCAGGCAACAGAGCUGUCAACUGGUGAGGAGGAGAGGAGAGGAGAGGAGAGGAGAGGAGAGGAGAGGAGAGGAGAGAAUUGAGAUUCAAGAGAAAAGAAUGGAAUGACCAGGAAGACACAAAGAGGGAAACAAAGUGUUCAAAAAGAAGCACAAGAGAAGCAAGCACGAUGAGAGAGCGAUAUCAAAUCGUAAUUUCCCCCGCCACCUUAUUGAUGACACAGAGAAAUGACACAGAAAAUACUCUUAUAUAGGAUUUUCUGCAAUUCCCAAAAAACCAUGUGGUCAAGCCUGGUUUUCACCAUUGGGGGGCAGCAGUGACACAUGGAAGAGAGGAGGAACUGACCUGAAGCUGAUUCUGAAUGAUCGAACCAUGAGUCCAGUGCAGCCUUUGAUAAAGAUGAAAACCUGCUCCCUGAUAAGAUGCAGAAACACGUUUGUGUCAGUGAGACAGAUUGCGAGAAGAGCUGACAUUUGGUGUGUACUGCGUCUUUAGGGGAAGGGGGAAGUUGCGAUGGGCUCUAAAAAGCUCCACUCUGCCGCCAUAUCGGUCAUAACCUUGGGGUCAACACACACACAAACACACACUGACCGCAGGAUUUCCCUCUUAUAAAUGGACUUCUGCAAAAAGCCUUGGGUCACUAACCAUGCAGGAUGCAAACAUCUGGUUAAUCUAUCAUUAGGGGCCAAGUUUGUGGGUAUUCCAACAUGACGUACAGCUCCUGAUUUGAUGCUAUAUAAAACUAGCAGCUGUUCGCGAAACCCCAAAAUGUCCGAUGUUUCCACUUUCCGGUCAAAUCUUCCCCCAAAUGUAGCUUCUUCCUCUCAAGGAUUCCCAUAAUUAAAACAUUGUAAACGCACUGUGAAUGUCACUUCUUCUACAUUGGACUACCCUGUGCUCCGUGCGUGCAACAAUAAAGCCAAAUGCACCUCGUACAAUGAUUGUCCGGCUUGUAAAAACAGCUGUUAAGUGAAGUUUUUCUUGUAUCUGUGGAUGAUGCCCGUUCGCAGGGUAAGAUGAGUUAUGAUUCACGGCUGGAAAUGGCCGACAGGCAGUGGCAUGGUGGAUAAUGUGGUCAGUAAUACAGUGGUGGGACAGUAUAUCAAGUUGCUGUGUCUUUUUCUCACUUCCCCUCCCGACUUCCCCUUGUACCGGGUUGAGAGCAGAGUGCUAAACCCAACACUUACUGUCAGUGAGGCUAUUAAUAUUAGCCUGCCUUCUCUCUCUCUCACUCUCGUUCACUCCAUCUUUUUAAAACCUCCCCCCCCCCUUUUACAACAUCGCCGCACACGAACACGCAGCAAAUUUUCACGUGACACAGAGCAGAGUUACAUGUUGUAAAUGCUUUUACAGUUUAAGUUGUUGGCACUGAAUAAGCACGAUAAUAAAAGGCUUUAUCUCUUUA